AACGCGUCCCGGAUGGGGACGAGCUCCGGGCGCAGCCUAAAUUUAGCCGCGGUAUAAAAGCGAGCGGGCGGCGGCGGCCCUGGCCACUGCGGCCGCCCCGGGGCCCUGCACAGCCGGGCCCCGGCCGCUCGCGCGCGCGCUCGCGUAGCCAGGCCGCGCCCCCGCCACCCCCCCACCCCAGGCCCCGGGCCCGCCCCCGCUCCGUCUCCACGGCGACCGCGUCAACACGCGCCCCACAACAGAGCGUGACGCGCGCAGGGAUCCCCGGGGCGCCCCGCGCGGACGCGCUCCCGGCUUGCGCCAGCCUGCAGCGCGGUGGGCCCCCGUGGCGGGGCCUCCCCGGAUGCGUGGAUCGAAGGGGAACCCAGCUGCCACGGGGUCCCCAGAGCCCUUAAAGGGAUGGGGAGACUGGGAGGGGGGCGUGUCCCGGGACCCAGUCUUUAAGCCCACGUCCCAGAAACAGCCGUGUGGGAUCAGAUCGGGAAGUGCUAAGUGUGCGAGUCCGGCCUCGGGGGACCCCCUUGAACCCCUGCUGGCCACGGCAGCUGUCACGCCAGUCGAACGCGGCUACGACAGCCACGAUUCUUGUCGCUGUCCCCUCCCCGGGCCCGGCUGGAGCCACCCACCGAGGACCUCUUCAAAUAGCACACACUGGAGCCACCCAGGCGCGGGAAGAACAGGGACUCAGCUGUGUGACCUCGGAGGAACCGCUUAACCUCUCUGAGUGUCAGCGUCUUUUUUUUUUUUUUUUUUUUAAAUUUCUUUGAAAGGCAGAGCUGGGGGGGGGGGGGGUCUUCCCUCCACUAGUUCACUCCCCAAAUGGCCACGAUGGCUGGAGCUGUGCCGAUCCAAAGCCAGGAGCUUCUUCUGGGUCUCCCAUGCAGGUGCCAUUUCUACUGCUUUCCCAGGCCAUAGCAGAGAGCUGGAUAGGAAGUGGAGCAGCCGGGCGGGACUCGAACCUGUGCUCUGAUAUGAGAUGCCGGCAUCCCACAGCACCACCACGCCAGCCCCUGUGCUAUCCUGUUAUCCUGCUGGUGGCCCACGUGCCUUACCACAACCGUGCAAAGAAUGCGCGCUGUGCUACGUACGAUGUGACAGCGGCUGCAAGGUCCUGUGACGAUGGGAAUCUUUCAGGUCCAUUAUGGUGUCAUUGUAUGGGGUCACCACUGUGUGCAUGGUCCCUUAUCAAGCGGACACAUCCUAGCAAGAUAGGCAGGGAUUGGGAGAGUGUGCUGCAAUCGAUUGAUCAUGUCCGUGAGUGGUGGCCCCUCGCAGGGAUUGGGAGCUUGUGCUGUGAUGGACUGGUCAUGUCUGUCACCUGUGCAGGAUUGGGAUCCACGGCAUGUGUGCAACUUUGCACGGGUGUCUCUCCAGGCUGUCCUGCAAGACGUGAGAAAGGUGCACAUCAGACGUCUGAACAGCCCACUGCGACGAGCUCCCUGUCUGUGCCCCCCUGGGCUUGCUUCUGCCCCACGGAGAGCUCGCCACCUGCUGUGCCGGUGCACUGGCUGUUUCCGGUCCCCUUUCAUGCGUCCAGGUCUGCUCGCUAGAGUCGAGGCCGCCUUUCCCUUUCCCCAGCUGUUCCGUCCCCGACAGCUAUUGUGAGUGAGUGCGCCCUUGGCCGGGGGCCCAAGAGCAAGCGCUCAGGAAUGCUGCAGAAAACACGUCACCUACGAUACAGCUGAGUCUCCAAGAACAGCGCUGACUGCUCCAGGGGCAUGACAGCCACAUUACAACCACAACUGGGCCGGGAAUCCCAGCUGAGGCCGUCGGGUGUUCCCGCCGGGGCUUGCGCAAGCUUCUCGCAGCUUCUCGCCAAGCUCGGCGGCUCCCGUGGUGCGAAGAUGCUCUGUAGCUCUGAGGCUCCGGGAGGUGGGAGCCGACGGCGCGCGCAGGGGUGCCUCUGAGACAGAGAGAGAGACAGAGACAGAGACAGAGACCUUCCGUGCGCUGGUUCGCUCCCCCAGUGCCAGGCUGAAGCCAGGAGCUCCAUCCGGGUCUCCCACGUGGGUGGGCGGGGACCCAGGCCCUUGAGCCGGCUGCACCUGCUGCCUUCCCAGGGUGUGCGCAUGCGCAGGGGUCAGGCGCAGAGCCUGGAAUUGAGCCCCGGGCCCAGCUGAACGCCCAAGCCAGCAUUGUGCUUUUGGACUUCUGUCUGUCACCCAUCAAAGGGACCGAGGCCACCUGCCUUGUGGGUGCAGGGACCCAGGCCCCCGGGCUACCUGCUACUGCUUUCCCAGGUGCAGCAAGCAGGGAGCUGGACCGGAAGUGGAGCAGCCGGGACUCGAACCGGUGCCCUUAUCUGGGCUGUGGAAAACACAGGCCCCUGUCUUUUAAAUAAAUAAGUAAACAAGGAAGGUGUGGGCAGGCCAGGGUGAGAACCGAUUGGCAAAGUGCCCGGGGUGGGAGUGGGGGCGUGUUGUAACCUCAGCCCCGCCCAGCCUCUGCCCAGCGCCUGGACAAGGACCGACGCCCCAGGACUCGGCCAAGGGUUCCCAGCUGAGUCCCUCCCCCGACUCCACCUUCCCCGCCCUCCGGAGCCCACAGCCAAUCCCAGGGCUCCCUGCUGCCGGCCCCGCCUCCGCCACCAUGGGACCAUCACAGUGGACAUCGCCAAGUUCACAUCCAAGUGCCUGUGCCUGGCCACCCCAGGACAGGGGGAGCGGAGAGCGCGCUUGUCCCGGGCUGGGCUGUGGAGCCCACAAAGCCAGGGAGCCUGCGCGGUGGGGGCAGCGCCCCUCGGAGAAAAUACUGGGCGGAGCCCUGGGCAGGGGGCUGGGCCACGAGCUUUGUCGCACACCCAGGCCGGGAGGGGGCGGGGGGAUGCAGAAGGGGGAGCCAGAGAGAAAUCUUCCAUCUGCUGGUUCACCCCCGAAAACGCCUGCCCCAGCUGGGGGCUGGGAACUCCACCCGGGUCUCCCACGUGGGUUGCCGGGACCCGGAUAAUUUCCCUUCUGAGGAAUUCAAAUCAGAAAAACAGAAACCAGAGAAUUCGGGACCUUAAUUACACCUGCAAAACCCUUUCCCCUUUGCCUUAGAGAGAGACCUAAUCAAGGGAGUGAUAACCCAACCUGUUCAAUAGUCCCGCCCAUACUUAGGGAAUUAUGCCAAGUCUGUAGAGCAACUGAUAGGACUCUCUGGAGCCUGGGAGAGGCCCCCGCCUUGUCCCCUGCUGUGGCCCUUGGGAGGAGCUGGCUGGGGGUUGGGAGACUGGUUGGCUUUCCCUUUGUCCCCUUUCUGGAAGAACAGAGGGCCCCCUCUUUUUUUUUUUAAGAUUUAUUUGAGAGGCAGAAUUACAGACGGGAGAGGGAGGGGGAGGGAGAGGGAGGUCUUUCAUCUGCUGGUUCACUUCCCAGAUGGCCGCAAUGGCCGGAGCUGCGCCAAUCUGAAGCCAGGAGCCAGGAGCUUCCUCCGGGUCUCCCACGCGGGUGCAGGGGCCCAAGCACUUGGGCCAUCUUUUGCUGCUUUCCCAGGCUACAGCAGAGAGCUGGACCGGAAGUGGAGCAGCCAGGACUCGAACCAGCACUCAGAGACCGGCCGUGGGCAGUAGCCUCAGGCAAAAGCUAUUUGAACUCUGGGCCGUGGACAUCCGACCACCUGGGGCCUCUCCCCAGCCUGAUGGAUUUGUCGCCCUAAAGGGCUUUGUCCCAGACAACCUGGGCUGUGACUCACUGCGUCCUGGGCACCCAGAGCCCGUGGACAAAGGGUGGUGACUGCCCGGGGAGGCUCCCAGCCACCCCGUGUUCUGCUGGACGCUGAGUCACUGCUGAAGUCGGGGAGCGCUCUGGGGAGGGGGGUGCUCCCCGGUGGCCCUGGGGCCGAGGGUGCUCAGCCAUGGUGGCCACUACCGGUCACGACAGCUUCUCCUGUGCACACGGAUGCCUCUCUCCCCUGCCCACCCCCGUGCCGCCCCGGUCCCCCAGCCCAGCACAAGACCCUGUCUGUCCCCUGGGGCGUCCCUCUGUGCCCCCCACCCUCAGCCACUGCCCAGAGCCACAGCCAUUUGUUUGCUGUCCCCAGGCAGGGCUCGGGGCUCUCAGCGACUGCACCCCCUGACCCACCGCAGGGGUGGGGCUGGGUUCUGCCUGACCCCUGGUCGGACGGGAUCUUCACCCAGCCUGCCCCUCGGGGGGUGGGGUCUGGUAAACACUAGCUGCUCAAUAAAUGCUCAGAUCCA